rnacentral:rRNA from 1 species
AUUGAACUCUGGCGGCAGGCCUAACACAUGCAAGUCGAACGGUAACAGGAAACAGCUUGCUGUUUCGCUGACGAGUGGCGGACGGGUGAGUAAUGUCUGGGAAACUGCCUGAUGGAGGGGGAUAACUACUGGAAACGGUAGCUAAUACCGCAUAACGUCGCAAGACCAAAGAGGGGGACCUUCGGGCCUCUUGCCAUCGGAUGUGCCCAGAUGGGAUUAGCUAGUAGGUGGGGUAACGGCUCACCUAGGCGACGAUCCCUAGCUGGUCUGAGAGGAUGACCAGCCACACUGGAACUGAGACACGGUCCAGACUCCUACGGGAGGCAGCAGUGGGGAAUAUUGCACAAUGGGCGCAAGCCUGAUGCAGCCAUGCCGCGUGUAUGAAGAAGGCCUUCGGGUUGUAAAGUACUUUCAGCGGGGAGGAAGGGAGUAAAGUUAAUACCUUUACUCAUUGACGUUACCCGCAGAAGAAGCACCGGCUAACUCCGUG